rnacentral:tRNA from 1 species
GCUGGCGUAGCUCAGUUGGUAGAGCAGCUGAUUUGUAAUCAGCAGGUCGUAAGUUCGAAUCUUAUCGCCAGCUCCA